UACGUAGGGUGCGAGCGUUGUCCGGAAUUAUUGGGCGUAAAGAGCUCGUAGGCGGUCUGUCGCGUCUGCUGUGAAAACCCGAGGCUCAACCUCGGGCCUGCAGUGGGUACGGGCAGACUAGAGUGCGGUAGGGGAGAAUGGAAUUCCUGGUGUAGCGGUGGAAUGCGCAGAUAUCAGGAGGAACACCGAUGGCGAAGGCAGUUCUCUGGGCCGUAACUGACGCUGAGGCACGAAAGCGUGGGGAGCAAACAGG
rnacentral:rRNA from 1 species